GUUGAACGCUGGCGGCGUGCCUAAUACAUGCAAGUCGAGCGAACAGACGAGGAGCUUGCUCCUCUGACGUUAGCGGCGGACGGGUGAGUAACACGUGGAUAACCUACCUAUAAGACUGGGAUAACUUCGGGAAACCGGGGCUAAUACCGGAUAAUAUAUUGAACCGCAUGGUUCAAUAGUGAAAGACGGUUUUGCUGUCACUUAUAGAUGGAUCCGCGCCGCAUUAGCUAGUUGGUAAGGUAACGGCUUACCAAGGCGACGAUGCGUAGCCGACCUGAGAGGGUGAUCGGCCACACUGGAACUGAGACACGGUCCAGACUCCUACGGGAGGCAGCAGUAGGGAAUCUUCCGCAAAGGGCGAAAGCCUGACGGAGCAACGCCGCGUGAGUGAUGAAGGUCUUCGGAUCGUAAAACUCUGUUAUUAGGGAAGAACAAAUGUGUAAGUAACUAUGCACGUCUUGACGGUACCUAAUCAGAAAGCCACGGCUAACUGCGUG
rnacentral:rRNA from 1 species